CCUGAUGGCGAGUGGCGAACGGGUGAGUAAUGCAUCGGAACGUGCCCAAUCGUGGGGGAUAACGCAGCGAAAGCUGUGCUAAUACCGCAUACGAUCUACGGAUGAAAGCGGGGGACCUUCGGGCCUCGCGCGAUUGGAGCGGCCGAUGUUAGAUUAGGUAGUUGGUGGGGUAAAGGCUCACCAAGCCGACGAUCUAUAGCUGGUCUGAGAGGACGACCAGCCACACUGGAACUGAGACACGGUCCAGACUCCUACGGGAGGCAGCAGUGGGGAAUUUUGGACAAUGGGCGAAAGCCUGAUCCAGCAAUACCGCGUGCAGGAAGAAGGCCCUCGGGUUGUAAACUGCUUUUGUACGGAACGAAACGGCGCGCUCUAAUAAAGUGCGCUAAUGACGGUACCGUAAGAAUAAGCACCGGCUAACUACGUGCCAGCAGCCGCGGUAAUACGUAGGGUGCAAGCGUUAAUCGGAAUUACUGGGCGUAAAGCGUGCGCAGGCGGUUUUGUAAGACAGGCGUGAAAUCCCCGGGCUUAACCUGGGAAUUGCGCUUGUGACUGCAAGGCUAGAGUACGGUAGAGGGGGGUAGAAUUCCGCGUGUAGCAGUGAAAUGCGUAGAUAUGCGGAGGAACACCGAUGGCGAAGGCAGCCCCCUGGACCUGUACUGACGCUCAUGCACGAAAGCGUGGGGAGCAAACAGGAUUAGAUACCCUGGUAG
rnacentral:rRNA from 1 species